rnacentral:rRNA from 1 species
GAUGAACGCUGGCGGCGUGCCUAAUACAUGCAAGUCGAGCGAACGGACGAGAAGCUUGCUUCUCUGAUGUUAGCGGCGGACGGGUGAGUAACACGUGGAUAACCUACCUAUAAGACUGGGAUAACUUCGGGAAACCGUAGCUAAUACCGGAUAAUAUUUUGAACCGCAUGGUUCAAAAGUGAAAGACGGUCUUGCUGUCACUUAUAGCUGGAUCCGCGCUGCAUUAGCUAGUUGGUAAGGUAACGGCUUACCAAGGCAACGAUGCAUAGCCGACCUGAGAGGGUGAUCGGCCACCCUGGAACUGAGACACGGUCAAGACUACUACGGGAGGCAGCAGUAGGGAAUCUUCCGCAAUGGGCGAAAGCCUGACGGAGCAACGCCGCGUGAGUGAUGAAGGUCUUCGGAUCGUAAAACUCUGUUAUUAGGGAAGAACAUAUGUGUAAGUAACUGUGCACAUCUUGACGGUAACUAAUCAGAAAGCCACGGCUAACUACGUG